UAUGUAGGUGGCCUUGUAAGUCGGAUGUGAAAUCCUUUGGCUUAACCAAAGAACUGCAUUCGAUACUGCUGGACUUGAGUUUCGAAGAGGAGAGUGGAAUUCCUAGUGUAAGAGUGAAAUCUGUAGAUAUUAGGAGGAACACCGAUGGCGAAAGCAACUCUCUGGUCGACAACUGACACUGAAAUACGAAAGCUAGGGGAGCAAACAGGAUUAGCUACCCUGGUAGUC
rnacentral:rRNA from 1 species